CGAUUACAUAUUGUGAAAAAGAGGUUAUUGUUUAUAUUCAGCAAGAAAGUAUUUUUAAAUAACGUUAGUAUUUAAUUUAAACAUUCAUCAAUGGAUUUAUAUCGAUGUCAUCUACGAUAGAACUGAGUUAGAAAAAGGUUAUAUAAUGCUAUAUAAUAAAAAGAAGAAGUUGCCAGCAAGGUUAGGAUUGAAAGUUCAUUCGAUACAUUAGUAAUAUAAACUACUACACCUUCAUGUUUUUGAAUAAUGAGGCUAGUGAAGUCUGAUAAAAUUUAUUCAAAUAAGAUAGUAAGUAAUAAAAAUAUUGAUAUAAUUAUCUCUAUAUAUUGAUUUCAGUAUUCUUAAUUUGCUAUUCAAUGAUUUUAUAAUUUGCAAUUUAAAAUGUAAAGAGAAUAAACAUCACGGGAAACAUUGCUAGAAGAAAUGCGUUAGGUUUCGAAGUUCAACAGUUUCUUGUUGAAAUUGUAAAAGCCACGAACGAUGUUUUAUAUGGGAUAAUUACAAAGAUAGUAAAAAGAAUGAAAACAAGACGUCGACGAAGGAAGAAGGAGCUGUCUGAAACACCGUUUUCUGAUGUAUCAACGGAUGACAAGCUGCUUCAAAAUUUUUCUUCGAGCAACUGGUGUAAAUAUAAAAUAGAUAGAGCAAAGCUUUAUCUACAAGACUUCUUUACCUGAGCUUAUUAUGUUGAUUGUAUGGCUACUUUACAAAAAUUUGGCAAAUUCAAAUGUAUUGAAGAAAUGUCUCGUAGAGAAAA